ensembl:lincRNA
UAAAAAUACUGAUUGUGUUGAUAUAAACCUUUUAAAAUGACCUCCCUUGAAAGUAAAAGUCAACCUGUUAAAGGUACUGUACUUGGUCAAAUACAAAGACAAAAUAUUACAGUCACUGAAAAGCCAAGAUGAUGUUUAAUUACAUCUUCCUCAGAGCACACAUAUAGUAUUUACAUAUUGCAACAGACUUGUAAUUAAAGUUAUUUGAAAAGUUAUCUAGAUUAACAAUGGUUUUGUGCUUUUGACAUUCAACAGGUGCCCAAAUCCAUGCAUCUCUAACACAUGUCACAUAUACUGUAGGUCUUUUCUAUGAGUUCCUCCAGGGCUCAACCUUUUGCUCUGGUUGGAACGGAAAGAAAGUUUAAGGUUCUGCUUCAUGAACCAAGAAGCUGUUGCUGAAUGUUUUCUUUCUUGUGUUUGCCCUGCACAGAGGGGCACUCAGUCUGCUGUUGUUUAAGGUAGCAUUCAGUCCUGUGUGUUUACCCAAUCACUGUGUAAUGAUUCAUCAGUCUGUAAUCAGGCACUGAAGAGAAACAGCUCUUGCUGUAAAUUACAGGCUCGUGCUCUCUGUGGGCUCUCCCAUCUACGGAGACAUCUGGACAGCUGCCCAGACCUGUUGCCUGUUGUCAUACAGAUAGUCAUCUACACGGUACCAAGUGGCUGGUUUUUAGGAGCUGAUCCCAUGGUACUGUAUGCAAACACAUUGACAGAAAGGGACACAUACCUCGCACGUUCCACAUAUUCGCUGUUGAAGCCAUAGGCAGAGAAACAUGCAUUUGCAAAAGUCAGAAGAGCAAAUCUCCUCACAACAUGACACCAUGGGCAGAGCAUGCAAGAGAAAAUGUGUUUAAGGGUUUCAAGUUAAGGAUCCAGGCGAAGUCCUGGCAGCAAUCACUACUUGGACUGCUUUAUCUACACCUCCAGUUACAUUUUUUGACAUCCCCUUCCCCAUUUCUAUUUUCAGACAAAACAGAGGGAGGAGAUUACCCACCUGUCCUCUCUUAGUGUUAAAAAUUGGCACAGAGCAGCAUGGCCAAGCCACAGAUUUGGAAGAAUUUAACACCCGCUGGAUCCAGACAAGGAGAACUCUGUUCAAAAUAAACCCUGGACCCCCACAGGAAUGCACAGUAUCAACUGCUCCUAGGCCAGCAACCUCCACCCUCUCCCCAGAAUCAUUGCCACAGUCCUGCAGGAGUAAGAAGGUCGGUUAUGAUGACCCCCGGCACAGAUCUGAGGAACAGAAGGGGUACUGUCGAAAAGCCCCUUUAUCCAUAUAUUUAAUUCUCAAACUUUACUUUCUAUGCUUCACAGAACUAAAAGUUUACGGAGGAUUCCUUACCCUGCCAUGCUGUCCAGCGCUGUCGAUGUUGAGUAUUUGUGUUGUUCUUUUGAAACAAUCUAAUCGCACCACUAGUGCUGUCCUGGGAUGCUUCUGUAUAAUCAAACUACAGAGAGAAAGCUUUGCAGAACAAAAAAAGGGGAAAGUGAAAAUGUCCUCUAAAAUGUGUAUGCUACACAAGGCUCUCUGUACUAAAUUGCUCUUAUUGGAAAACUGCUUAUUCCUGGUAAGGGGGAAGCCACCCAGACCCUGUUCUGGAAGCACAAGGCACAAGGUGAGAAUACACCCUGGAUGGGAUGUCAGUCAGUCACACACACACAUAGGCACCCCAGGCACCCCAGGACAAUGUAGAAACUGAUAAGCCUUGUCAGCCUGUCACUGGCUCCGGAAGAAGCAGCGGUACUUUGGCUGUAGGUUUGACAAAGCCGAAAGGAGAGGUGAAGGUUUGCACCCAAAUGGCGAAGAACGAGGAGUAUCUCAAGAUGGAGGAAAUGAUUCUCUGUAAUCCAGUGGAGUUUGAGUGUUUUGAGGCGACGGAGGCCACCUGUGCCUGGCCAGGCCAGCAGGGCUACCCCACCAUGGAGGAAGAGGGAGCCUUUGACUUGUCCCCUGUGACCCUGCUAAGAGAGAACUGGACUCCUUCUUGGAGGCAGUGAGCAAGCUGACUGUCAAUUUCCCUCCGAUGGACAUUGAAGGCUGAAUGUUGGUGUAUAUGCCGCAUUGUUCUUAAGCAUUAGUAAACAUUGUUUUUUUAUGGAAGCUGCUUCAUAAAGUUUAGAUUAAGUUGGAAAACCAAGUGAGGAAAAAACAGAGCACCUAGCAGAUGGAGAGAGCAGGGACAUGUCAAGAGCUGUAAGGCAUCAGUGCCAAUAGCGACCCCACCAGGACACUGACAUCCUUAGAAGCACAGCACACUUUCUACUCUGACAUGAACAAACUCAAUCAGCUUAUGUACCAGACGGAGAACAAAGCACUGAAUAUGAAGUCAGCUCAUUGGAAAAACAAAAAUUGUAGCCCACUUAUGUACCUCUUUUUAAACUCUGAUGUAAGCAUAAUUGAAUCCCAGAAAACACAGGCUCAGAAAAAACAUUACGUAAAUGCUUUUUAUAACUUGCACCAGUACGAAUCAUAAACAAAAACAGGCUUGUCUUUCAUCCUCAACACUGUCACCUGUUAUUUUCCUCGUUUUGUACAUUUGAGAAAUAACCUUUAUCUCUGAUCUGCUGUCUGGUUGAGGUCACACUGUGUUCUGUUACUCUGCUUUCAAUCUGAUUUCCAAAAUACACUGAGCACUGAGUUGUAACUCCUUUCUAAAGGCUAGAUAUGGCAUUUAACCUACUGCUGCCUCGGGUCCAAGUAUCAGUCUGUAACAGCAACUAAAAACGUUCAAAGAGAAAUCUUACAUAGUUCUUCUGUUAUCUUGUAUGCCACCAGAAGCCAGACUUUCUAUGACUUAAAUUAAAUUUAAAAAAAAGGUCUUUCUGGUAACAUAUCUUGACACACUGCUCUGUAGACUCUGUUAUAGCUGGAACUUACAUGAAUGGUUCCCUUCCUCUAGCACUUAUUAGUCUGUUUUACCUUGACGUCAGGAUGAAGCUAGCUCAACUAAAAGUCUGCCUGCCAGCCUGACGUGAACAGAGGGUAGCCUGGGAAGCUAUUUUCAGGAACAGAUUUGUUUAACUUAGUGGGUUUGAAAAUAUGAAACUUGAGACCUGAAUCAAAACAGGAAAAACGACACUCUGUACUCCACUAAAAUGCUACAUGGUACAAAUAAACACAAAUGGUGAAAUGUGCUGGGAUUCUGUGUGUGGUCGCUGUAAUUUCUGCUCUGACUGAUAAAGGCUUCCAGCAGUUAAAGGAAAGGUCUACAUUUCAGCCCAG